UCGAUGCCUUACAUGCAGACCAACUCGUGAAUUUGUUUGAAUACAUAGGGAUGGUUGGGGUGUUUGUCACCACAGCCUCCCUUUGGGUAGGAGGGGGCGCGCACUGUGUUCCCCUAAUGCCCGAACACAAACCCCGGCGUUCAAUGCGCCAAGGAACUAAAAUUCGAUCAAUGCGCCCUGUCGGCCCGGAAACGGUGCUUUGGCGGUGGUGCCUUGUCACAUGACAC
rnacentral:misc_RNA from 1 species